rnacentral:rRNA from 1 species
AUUGAACGCUGGCGGCAGGCCUAACACAUGCAAGUCGAACGGAGCGGCGGACGGGUGAGUAAUGUCUGGGAAACUGCCCGAUGGAGGGGGAUAACUACCGGAAACGGUGGCUAAUACCGCAUACUAUCAGAUGAGCCCAGGUCGGAUUAGCUAGUUGGUGGGGUAAAGGCCUACCAAGGCGACGAUCCGUAGCUGGUCUGAGAGGAUGAUCAGUCACACUGGAACUGAGACACGGUCCAGACUCCUACGGGAGGCAGCAGUGGGGAAUAUUGGACAAUGGGCGAAAGCCUGAUCCAGCCAUGCCGCGUGUGUGAAGAAGGUCUUCGGGUUGUAAAGCACUUUAAGUGGGGAGGCGUUACCCACAGAAUAAGCACCGGCUAACUUCGUGCCAGCAGCCGCGGUAAUUC